UACAGAGGUCUCAAGCGUUGUUCGGAUUCAUUGGGCGUAAAGGGUGCGUAGGCGGCGCGGUAAGUCGGGUGUGAAAUCUUGGAGCUUAACUCCGAAACUGCAUUCGAUACUGCCGUGCUUGAGUACUUAAGAGGAUCGCGGAAUUCCCGGUGUAGAGGUGAAAUCGUAGAUAUCGGGAGGAACACCAGGUGGCGAAGGCGGCGAUCUGGGAAGAUACUGA
rnacentral:rRNA from 1 species